rnacentral:lncRNA from 1 species
GGGGAAGUUGUGCAUUCUCUUCCAUCUCCCAGGAGUCUGUCAUUGUCCUGCACUGGCAGACCAGGCUGAGCCAGUGUUGAGCACUUCAGUCCCAGGAACAAGUGACCUCUCCAGCACUGCAAGCAUCUUCCAGAUUGUGGCCCUGCUCAGAAUACAACUCGAGGCAAAGCAAUCAGAAACAGAAAGGAAAUGGGGCUCAAAAUAUAUCCAGAAUACAAGCCAGAAGGAAAUGAAAAGCCAAAAAAAAAGAGGAGAAAUUCUAUUGACUUAAGAAUGUUGUAACUAACAAUUCAUUAGCUAUCUGGGAAUGCUCAGGCAAAAUCCUUACCAAGCAUGCUCAAAACGACCUA